UCUACGGGUGGCAGCAGUGGGGAAUAUUGGACAAUGGGCGAAAGCCUGAUCCAGCCAUGCCGCGUGUGUGAAGAAGGCCUUCGGGUUGUAAAGCACUUUCAGUGGGGAAGAAAGCCUUGGGGCUAAUACCCUCGAGGAAGGACAUCACCCACAGAAGAAGCACCGGCUAACUCCGUGCCAGCAGCCGCGGUAAUACGGAGGGUGCGAGCGUUAAUCGGAAUUACUGGGCGUAAAGCGCGCGUAGGCGGUCUGAUAAGCCGGUUGUGAAAGCCCCGGGCUCAACCUGGGAACGGCAUCCGGAACUGUCAGGCUAGAGUGCAGGAGAGGAAGGUAGAAUUCCCGGUGUAGCGGUGAAAUGCGUAGAGAUCGGGAGGAAUACCAGUGGCGAAGGCGGCCUUCUGGACUGACACUGACGCUGAGGUGCGAAAGCGUGGGUAGCAAACAGGAUUAGAUACCCGUGUAGUC
rnacentral:rRNA from 1 species